AAAGAAUCUGAGUUUGAGUUUCACAUUUUGUCCAACUGUUAUCUUACUGAUAUAUAAUUGAUAUAUCUGAGGGAUAUCUACGAAAACAUUAUAUUUACAUCUAAACAAUGAUAUCAAAAGAAAGAAUUUAAAUCGGUAUCUUUAUUUACAAAAUACAAAUUUCACAAGUUGAGUGGAUUUUUGUACAUACUGAGGAUCAUAGUUGAUGCAUAUCAAAAGCAUUUCGAGGCAUAUCUGUCUUUGUGGUAAGCAAAGAAAAACUUAAUGUUUACUUGUAUGCUUUUGAGACAGUAUCUCAAUACUGUACUAACAUAUUGACCAAAGACAUCUAACAAAUUAAACAAAUGUAUUUUUGAAAAAAAAUAAAAUUUAGAAAGUUUCGUAGACAGGGAACCGAUAGACAUGCACAGUAAAUGAUUAAUAUGCAAGGUUAUUUUGGGCUGUUUUGCAUAUAUAUAGUUUCAUAAAUAACAUAAUAAAAUAUGUGCAUUAUUUUAGAUAUACAUUCUGUUAAAGAGGUCAAAGAUACUAUUAUAAGAGCUAUGCAGUAAUCAUAAUUAUUUUGAUUACAAUCUGUGGUUAAACUAUGCAAAGCUCGACCUUGUUAUCAGCAUCUGUACAAAAGAACUUGUUUUACUUCCAAUUGUAAUGUUAUUCCUGAAGGCCCUUCUUGCAAAUGUUGAAUGAUUUAAUGAAAUCGCAUGCCAAAUUAAAUCAUUUUAUUUAU
rnacentral:sRNA from 1 species